rnacentral:tRNA from 2 species
AGGUGCGAAGGCGAAACCUACUUCGACUCAUAAUCGGGCGGCCGCGGGUUCGAGUCCCGUCACCG